UACGGGGGGUGCAAGCGUUAUUCGGAAUUAUUGGGCGUAAAGGGCGCGUAGGCGGUUGAAUAAGUCAGAUGUGAAAGCCCUUGGCUUAACCAAUGGAGUGCAUUUGAUUCUAUUUGGCUUGAGUAUGGGAGAGGGAAGUGGAAUUCCUGGUGUAGAGGUGAAAUUCGUAGAUAUCAGGAGGAACCCCGGUGGCGAAAGCGACGUCCUGGACCAAUACUGACGCUGAGGCGCGAACGCGUGGGGAGCAAACAGG
rnacentral:rRNA from 1 species